AGCAGUAGCCGCGGUAAUACGUAGGUCCCGAGCGUUGUCCGGAUUUAUUGGGCGUAAAGCGAGCGCAGGCGGUUAGAUAAGUCUGAAGUUAAAGGCUGUGGCUUAACCAUAGUACGCUUUGGAAACUGUUUAACUUGAGUGCAAGAGGGGAGAGUGGAAUUCCAUGUGUAGCGGUGAAAUGCGUAGAUAUAUGGAGGAACACCGGUGGCGAAAGCGGCUCUCUGGCUUGUAACUGACGCUGAGGCUCGAAAGCGUGGGGAGCAAACAGGAUUAGAUACCCCCGUAGUCCCUGUCUCUUAUACA
rnacentral:rRNA from 1 species